UUGGUCAUUUAGAGGAAGUAAAAGUCGUAACAAGGUUUCCGUAGGUGAACCUGCGGAAGGAUCAUUAAUGAAACUUCAAAGUCGGCCAAAGGUUGUUGCUGGUGAUUAUUCACAUGUGCACGCCUUUGGUCGCAAAUCCACACACACCUGUGCAUCUAUGACUCGAGGUUGUAAUGACUGAGAGUAACUUUUAUACACUCUUGUAUGUAAUGGAAUGUCUUUUUGUGCUAUAAUGUACAAUAUAAACAACUUUCAACAACGGAUCUCUUGGCUCUCGCAUCGAUGAAGAACGCAGCGAAAUGCGAUAAGUAAUGUGAAUUGCAGAAUUCAGUGAAUCAUCGAAUCUUUGAACGCACCUUGCACCCUUUGGUAUUCCGAAGGGUACGCCCGUUUGAGUGUCAUUGUAAUCUCACUUCUACAACUUUAUUGUUGUUUGAAUGUGGACUUGGAUGUUGCCGUUUUAUCACRGCUCGUCUUAAAUGCCUGAGUGUACCCUGUUUUGCAGCGUAUCCAGUGUAAUAAACAUUUCACUAGAGUUGGUCGAAAGACCGCGUUGACUAUAUGGGCUCUAUGCUUCAAACCGUCUGCCAUGUGGACAAUUUCUUGACAAUUUGACCUCAAAUCGGGUGGGACUACCCGCUGAACUUAAGCAUAUCAAUAAGCGGAGGAAAAGAAACUAACAAGGAUUCCCCUAGUAACGGCGAGUGAAGAGGGAAAAGCUCAAAUUUUAAAUCUGGUGUCUUUGACUCCCGAGUUGUAAUCUAGAGAAGUGUUUUCCGUGUCGGACCGUGUACAAGUUCCCUGGAACGGGGCGUCAUAGAGGGUGAGAAUCCCGUAUAUGCCAYGGACUACCGAUGCUCUGUGAUACACUCUCAACGAGUCGAGUUGUUUGGGAAUGCAGCUCAAAAUGGGUGGUAAAUUCCAUCUAAAGCUAAAUAUUGGCGAGAGACCGAUAGCGAACAAGUACCGUGAGGGAAAGAUGAAAAGCACUUUGGAAAGAGAGUGAAACAGUACGUGAAAUUGUUGAAAGGGAAGCGUUUGAAGUCAGUCGCAUCUGUUGGGGUUCAGCCUGGCUUUUGCCUGGUGUAUUUCCUUUCYGAUGGGUCAGCAUCAGUUUYGACCGAGGGAAAAAGACAUUUGGAAUGUGGCUGUCUUCGGGCAGUGUUAUAGCCUUGUGUUGUAUGUCUCGGUUGGGACUGAGGAUUGCAGCGCGCCAUAAAUGGCCGGGGGUCGCUCCUCUCGACACGCGCUUAGGAUGCUGGCAUAAUGGCUUUAAGCGACCCGUCUUG
rnacentral:rRNA from 1 species